UCCUCGAUGGCCACGAGAUAUCCCUGAAAACUGGAAUCGGAUCGGAGGAAAUCGGAUAUAACCUUAACGGCGAUCGUUCGUUCAAAGAACACGACGCACACAGCGGAGCUGGUGGUCGAACGGAGAGGGAGGGAGGAAGGGAGAGAGAGAGAGAGAGAGAGAGGGAGAUGAUCGGCGUAGGCGCCGAAUACGUCGUUAUCCACCUGGCGGGGUUUGCGCAGCGCAAAACGCAAACGCAGAGAGAGCGCAGAGAGAGGCGCUUCAGCGCAUGGGGCGAUAGCGGUGGGUGGACGGGUUUGGGAACGGGACAAGGUCCGGCAGAGAGGGCUGCGAUGGGGCGAGCGAGAGGGUGAGAGGGCCGCGGGGUUGUUGGGGAGGUCGAGGGGUGCGCGUCCGAGAGAGGGUUGGCGGUGCGAUAGAGGCGGCGAGGAGGUGAGGUGGGGGUGGCCGGCACGGGGCCACGGCGCAGUUGCUACUCAGACACGGGGAUGCUCGCAAUGCCUCUAUCAAAGACGCGUCGCACUGUGUUGUUAUGUGUUGUCAUAGUUAUUUCAUUGAAAAAUUAAUUUCACCGUUUUCGAAACACGCACCGAUUUCUGUUUGUGAAACACAAAGUCUGAACAACAACUCCUCUUAAGUUUCUGCCGAAACCGGACUUGAUUAUUUAGACAAAACUUUUGUUCGAGCGUUCCUCAUUUCGAAAUUACGACUAGUAAGAAGAAGAAGAAGAAGAAGAAGAAGAAGAAGAAGAAGAAGAAGACGACGAAAAAACGGAAGAAGAGGAAGAGGAAGUGGAAGAGGAAAAAGGAAUAUAGGAAACGAAGAAAAAAAAAAUAUCAAAAAAAGCACAAAAAAAAAGAGAAGAAACGAAAUUAAACAAAAAAACAAAAAAAAAAGCAUUGCCUUAAGGAAGAAGAGUAUACCUACACUGUCGAAGGAACAAGCAAAGAAACACAGGGGGGGAAAAAAAAAAGAAUAAUAAUAAUAAAAAAAAAAAUAACAAAAAAAAAA